GAAAGAUCCUUCAUUUUCAAUCCAUCAUGGCUGCCACUGAAAUGUCCGUUAUUAAGCCUGAGGAGAGGAUUCCCUGCCCAGCACAACAGGACUUCUGAGAGAUCCACACAGCUAUACAUCUGAAGGUGGCAGGACUGGAUACCGGGGAGGCAGUGAAACUAGCUUUUCCAGGGAUGUGACAACCUUCGGGAUAAAACCUCUCCUGAUAUCCGUCACCAGAGAAGAGAGAAAGGGAUGCUCUAUGGUCUCAAGGACUACAACUCCAGACGGUCAACAUCCCAAGAUCCGCCUUUUUCAGCCCAUUUGCCCUAUAAAGCUGCUUCAAAAUUUUGUAGUUUUAAGAUGGUUCUUUAGGACAUGAGUCCACCAUCUUCCCCUUUGC
rnacentral:lncRNA from 1 species